GACGAACGCUGGCGGCGUGCCUAAUACAUGCAAGUAGAACGCUGAAGGAGGAGCUUGCUUCUCUGGAUGGGUUGCGAACGGGUGAGUAACGCGUAGGUAACCUGCCUGGUAGCGGGGGAUAACUAUUGGAAACGAUAGCUAAUACCGCAUAACAGUCGAUAUCGCAUGAUAUCUACUUGAAAGGUGCAAUUGCCUCACUACCAGAUGGACCUGCGUUGUAUUAGCUAGUUGGUGAGGUAACGGCUCACCAAGGCGACGAUACAUAGCCGACCUGAGAGGGUGAUCGGCCACACUGGGACUGAGACACGGCCCAGACUCCUACGGGAGGCAGCAGUAGGGAAUCUUCGGCAAUGGACGGAAGUCUGACCGAGCAACGCCGCGUGAGUGAAGAAGGGUGUCGGAUCGUAAAGCUCUGUUGUAAGAGAAGAACGAGUGUGAGAGUGGAAAGUUCACACUGUGACGGUAUCUUACCAGAAAGGGACGGCUAACUACGUG
rnacentral:rRNA from 1 species